UGGCGACCGGCGCACGGGUGCGUAACGCGUAUGUAACCUACCUAUAACAGGGGCAUAACACUGAGAAAUUGGUACUAAUUCCCCAUAAUAUUCGGAGAGGCAUCUCUCCGGGUUGAAAACUCCGGUGGUUAUAGAUGGACAUGCGUUGUAUUAGCUAGUUGGUGAGGUAACGGCUCACCAAGGCAACGAUACAUAGGGGGACUGAGAGGUUAACCCCCCACACUGGUACUGAGACACGGACCAGACUCCUACGGGAGGCAGCAUG
rnacentral:rRNA from 1 species